AGUAUGGGUUGUGUUGUCUUGUCAGGGAGUAAAGAGCACAAGUGGUGGAGGCAGAUCACACCAGUGAAAUGUGUGUCCAGGGAUAAAAUCUCAGGAAAGGAUAGAGGCAAAAAAAAGUACAUGGAUCAUCAUCUUAUUGCUGUAAUCCACAGAAGAAAAAUAAAGCUCAGUAACAAUUUGAGUAUAGCUGAGCUACGUGCAUGCGACAACGCUUCCAAGCACUCCAUGACGUCUCCUCUGGGUGAAUGGUGCUGUACAGUGGCAAGUUCGCAUGGAUGUGAAGCUCACCUGAUAAACGCCUGACCACCAGCCCUUCGCCUGGAGCGAACACUCAGAUGGCUCUGGAUGGUUUACCACAAACUCUGUCGGGCUUAUGCAAGCCCCUGCAAAUUAUCCCUGGAGAACACGCUAUGAAGACAAAUAUUGCCUCACAUAAGCAACAGGAUUAACUAGGGUGGGCAAAAUAUAAUUUACCAGCAACAUGUACACCUUGGCAACAGAGUUCUCCGGGUCAAUAGGUGUGGAAUUGAAGUCAGUCAUCUGCUGUGGGCUAAUACAUGGUGAGAAAUGGAUUGAGACAGUUCACGCUCAUUUCAGUGGCACAAUUAGCAACCAUCACAGAUAAGAAAGCAUCACUCCAAAUACCUGGAGCCUGGAGGAAGAGGGGAAAAGACCGAAAACACAGUCAAAUAAAUACGUUUUGAAACAUAUCUUGAAAGCAUGGAGGGAGGGAGCAAGCCAGAAGGACCUGUGAAUGGAGUUCCUGAAUACAUUUUUAAUUAAAACUGUCAGCAUGAAAA